CAUAUUCUUUGAAUCCAUGAACAUGGGCUGUCUUUUCACUUGUGUCCUCUUUUUCUUUCGUCAAUGUUUUACAGUUUUCAGAGCUCCAUUUGUAACUUUUGAAUUAUGCCUUCUGCUUCUAAUACUCAGAAAUGAAUAUGUAGAUAGAUAAAUAAAAUGUAAAGCUAGACCAAGACAGACUGUAUCUGAAUUACAAACGAAACUCUUUUUCCUGACGUACAAAAAUCUAGUUUGGGAGAUUUGGCAUUUACUUUGUAAUUGGAGACGCUGAGGGGUCUUAGAGGGGUCCUGGUCUCCAUCACCAACUCCUGCACCUUUGCACCCCAUUCUGUUCCCUUAUGGUUCCUGUGAAGUCUCAGUUUGUACUGUGGCUGCUGCCCACCCACCCCCAGAGCCCUCCUCUGUCCUUAUAGCCCAUCUUUUGCUUCUCACAAAUUGCCACCCUUGCCUGCCAGCCAGUCUUGAAGCCACUAAGCAAGCAGCACACCCAAAUCAAGGGUUUGGUGCCCCAGGCCUUGGCUUGCCCAGGUGCACAUGAGUGUUCAGUACAGCAUUUCAGCACAACACUGUACUGUGACAGACCUGGCCUUCAUCACAACAGUCCCAUUUCCAGGAUUUUAUCUCAUGGAGACUGUCUGGGGAAACAUAUCCUAUCUUCAGGUCACUUCCAAACUUUGUUGGUCAGGACUGUGGUUUCAGGAUAUGAUGAUCAGGGAUUUUUUUGUUUAAGUGACAAUGGAUAUAAACCUACCCUCACCCACACUACCAUAAGGGAGUUUAUGACAUUUUUUAUGCCUUCGCUUAGACCGAUUUAACUUGAAGGUAGGUUCAAACACAGGAAUUCACCACUGGAAUUGGAAAGAAACACAGCUACCUGGACUGAACCACAGGGAGUUACCAGUUCUCAUUUACCUGGAGACACAGCCCAUUCACUCACAUGAGAUGCAACUGAAUCCUCAUUCUGCCCAGUAGCUCCUUGGACAGCUUGUAACUUUUGAAUUAUGCCUUCUGCUUGGGACUUGCUUGGGAUGAUGGCUAAAUUCAACUCAUUCCCAGCAUGAGGGACAAAAGGCCUGGGAGAUGAAUGUGACAGGAGAAAGGAGAGUGGAGUUUACCUUAAACUCAAAGAGACUCUUUCCAGGACGAAUGGGACUUGGCUUCGUGUAAGAAUUCUGAUUCUGAAAAAUGGUGAAAGGUUGAUCAUCUUAUCAUCAGAUUAAUGAGGUCUGGGAAUUGACACAUAAUGUACUGUUGAUAGGGAUUGUCCAACCCGUGUUUUUAUUUGUAGAUUGCGUAACAGCGCGGGGCAGUGUCUCUUACUGAAAAUAGCACUUCCUAGCCGGUGAUGAGAACGCAUUCUCCUAAACAGUACUAUCCGGCUUGGUUAGCAUGAGCAUGACUCUGUCUCACUGCUCUGGAAUCCCUACUGAAAGCUUUCAGGGCCUAUAAGUGGCCCUUCAGUUGGGUUGGAGAUGGGAGAAGAAAUAACUUGCCGAGGCCGAGUACAGAUUGAUCCUCUGUCCCCAGCAUCUGCUGCUGCUUCUAAGCAUCCUUAAAACCACCAGCCACUUGUUUGUUCAGCUGCCCAGCCCUGAGCAUCCUGCCCUGCCAUCGGGAACCCUUCUGAUAAGCAUUUGUUGAAAGAGGAAGGUUGGAACAUGCCACUCCUGGGGCGUCCACUAGGGCCACCUCCAAUGAUCGCUGAGAAGUUCCAGCAAGUACGUCUUGCAAGUACCCAACACCAGCAAUUAUUUGGCGGAAAACAGCCUUUGCCAUCACUGCAGUUAAGGGUGUGGGGCAAAGAUCGGCUCAUGGGGUGUUGGGGAGAGCAGACCUCACCCUCACCAGUAGGGCAGGAGAGCUCACUGAGGACGACAUGGACCGUGUGUGUACCAUGAUGCGGAAUCCAUGCCAGUAGAAGCUCCCAGACUGGUUCUGCAAAAGACGAAAGGACGUCAAGGCUGGAAAAAAUACAACCAGGUCCUGGCCAAUGGUACAAACACCAAACUACGCGAAGGCCUGGAGAGACUGGCGAAGAUUCAGGCCCAAAGAAGGUGGCAUCCCUUCUGGGGACUUCGUGUCCGAGGCCAGCACUCAAAGACCACAGGCUGCUGUGGCCAUACUGUGGGUGGGUCCAAG